AAAAAAUAAAGUAAAAGAAGGCCCCUCUUAUGUUAGUACCCUCUCACACUUUCUCUUGUCUAUGUAUGGUCCAUAGUUGUUUGUUUCCCAAGUGAAAAAGGGGCUCUGAAAUCUGCAUCCAAGAAGCACACACACCCUGCAGCCAUAUUAAUUUGCAAUAUAGUAGUAACUAUAAGGCACUAACCCCUAUGCAUGUUGACCCUCAUUCAUUCAUUGACUAUCCUCAUUUUCAGAGCUCACUCUUCAAGGCACCACAACAACAUUACUACACUCCCAACAUAACAUAACACAAUCCCCAUAUAAACUUUGUCAAAAAGUAAGGAGAAAAAAGAAAAAAGGGUCACUAUAUCAGAUCCUUGGUGGUAUAUCCUUCCUUCAAGAAAAAUCAAAUUUUGUUUGUAUUUUCAGUGACCCUUUUAAGAAUUAGAUCCAAAAAGGAGCUUGUCUUGUUUUGUUCUUCAUGGGUUUCUGAGCUUUUUCUCUUUCAUUUCAUUCCAUGCACACAAAGUACUAUAUGCCUUGAGAAAGAACCAUGAGGCUGAUGCUGAGUACUCUGGCUUGUUUCUCUCUCCUUCUUUUGGUUCUUUUCAUGUUCAAAACUUCAUUUCCUAAAGAUGGUUCUGGUAAAUUUCAAAGCUUUGCAACUGGGUCUAUGUCAAAGCAUUCUCAAGCCAAAAGAGGUUCAAGACAUCAACAUAAAGAUGAAGAUAAUGGAAGAGGUGAAGUUGGUGGUGUUCUUGGUGAUGAAAAAAGAAAAGUCUACACUGGUCCUAAUCCCUUACAUAAUAGAUAAGACUUUGAUUAUUUAUUUUACUUUUAUUUUUCUUGCUUAUUGGUAGAAGAUCAUUUUUUUAAUUUCCUUUCUUUUAUCUAAAUUCUAAAGUUCACUUCUAUAUGUGUAUAUAUAGUUUUAUUGUUUAGUAAAAUUUUCACUAUGUUUUUCCACUUUCUUUUUCUAUUAUGAGCAAAUUUGUGAGUAUUUUUUGUGG
rnacentral:lncRNA from 1 species